CAUAUACUUCCUCCGUCCGAAAAUAAGUGACUCGAAUUUGUCUAGAUUCGCAUGCAUGUAUACACUAAAACACGUCUAGAUACAUACGGACAAAUCCGAGUCACUUAUUUCUGGACGGAGGGAGUAUAAA
rfam:Brachypodium distachyon strain Bd21 chromosome 1, whole genome shotgun sequence.